UGAGGAUCGAACCUGGGCCGCACGCAUGCCAGCCAACUCCCUGCCUGAAGAGGAAGAAAAAGCAAUGCAGAGCAUCCAGAACUUUAAAUGACUGAGCACCUAGAUUUCUGAUGGGUUUCCUUCUCAAAGUGGGGCACCAACCUGUGUGAUUGAUAUCCAAACAUGAUGACAGUGUUUUGUGUGAACAAAGCAGCGCUUGGGGGAGAGGUGAGAGCCCUGUCUCCCUAGUGUUCCCUUCAGCCUGAUCUCUCUUCUCUCUCUCUUUCUUCUUCUUCUUCCUUCCAUCCUGGUUGAUCAAUGCCUUUCCCCUUAGUUUGUGUCUUGUUUUCAGAGUCACAGAAGAUGGGAACCUAUUAGAUGCAAAAUGGAAUUGUUGGUGAGAACAUGAGGAGGAGAAGAGAAAUAAAGGAGGGAAAGGAAAUUUUUUUGUACCAUUCAUAGUAUAUGAGGUGAUUUUAGUUGGCAAACGGUUUAGGUGGCAAGAAUUUACUAGAAUAAAUUGUUGAAUUACAUCGACACAGAUAGACUCAAUUCUCAUAAGUAUUUUUUUAGCUAAAAUAUAUAAGCAGUGGACUCAAGCACUGAUUUUAAAGAUAUAUUAUUUAGAGCAACAUGAAAGUAAAUUCAGUUUAAAGUUAAAAACUGAUUUGAUGUAAAGAAGAAAUCCAUAGUACAGAUGGUACUCACCCAUGACAAAAAUUUUAACUACUGUGUAUGAAAUACUGAUAUAUGAAAAGUACUGUUAAGUACUGUAAAAAUGUCCCACAUCCUAGGCUAAAGGAUGGUUCUCUUAUGUGGAAGACUGUGAGCUCACAGAUGACUCUUGAGAGAGAAUGGGGAAAAGAGAAUAAGGCUGGCCCAGCUGGCUACUGGGCAGACAUGGAUAUCCCUGGAUUUAGUGCUAUUUCUGUUGUGCAAAUAAGCUGAGAAUUAGAAAAUUACCCUCAGCUAGAAACUGACUUACUGGUGGGUCUACUUUUGGCUCAAGCUUUCAAACAGGAAGUAUCAGCUGGUGUUGGAAGACUCUAUGCAAGGUAGAUGCAUUCCCCAAGAGUGGCACCUGCUAUUGUGGUCACCAGGCCCCACUAUGAAUGGGCCAGCUGAAUAGUGUAAGUGUACUAAAAAGGAGAUGAGAUUUAUUUGAGGAAAUAAACCAACCUGAAUGUGUUGGUGGUGAAUAUUUUGAGCAAACUGAAAAGUAAAAGAGACAAAGGAAAGGGCAGCUUCUUUUUUUCCAGGAGCCUGGGCCAUAGAAACUUCUGGAUUAGAGUCAAUCUACAGGGGAAGGAAAAAAAUAUCCAGGUCAAUUCAAGGCAAGGUUAAUUUGAAUCCAAGGAUAGGAAUCAAGGCCCAGCAACAAGGACAGAAUCUUUCAGGAUUUGCUGUCCUCAAGUGGCUGCUGAGAAACAAAUGAAACUUGGUCUUGAGUCAGAGGUCUGAUGGGGUAGAAAGGAAGUAUGCACAGGAAGGCAGCUUCUGAAAGUUGUUGGGACUCUGAGAACUGUGCUCAUCAAUAAUGUCAACUUCAAUCAUCCUGUGGCCUAAUCUAGCUUUACCAGCGUUCUAGUCAAAUAAAAUUGGGUAGGGGUCACCCUAGAAUAAAACCUAGAGAACUAGAAAAGAAGAAUCUAAAAUCAUGAUUCUACUACUGCUAUGGUUUGACUGCAGUUGUCCCCAUGAAAACUCAAGGGCAGGCCUGGUCUCCAAUUAACAGUAUGGAGAAGUCAAGGAUCCUCAAGAGGGAUUGUUCACCCCCCUGCCCUUGGGAGUGAAUUCUCACUGACAGGACCGGAUUUGUUAUCAUGAAAGUAGGUUGUUAUAAAGCAAGUCUGUUAGCUAGUCUGUUACCUCAUCUUGGACUCUUUUGUACAUGUGUUCUUCUGCAUGCUCUGCUUUCCAUUUUUCUUCAUGAAUCUUUGUAAGGCCCACACUAGAAGCUGAGCAAGUGCUGGUACAUGCUCUUAGAGCUCCAGAACUGUGAGUUAAAUAAAACUCUUUUCUUUGUAAGGCAUCUAGCCUCAUGCACUUUGUUACAGCAACGCAAAAUGGACUAAGAAAAUUACCUUUCCUCAUAGACAAGGAUCAAAUAUUGCUUAUGUUCUACAUCUCAACAAUUUAUAUUAUUUCUUAAAACAGCUGCAGUUUUUCUCAAGGAACAACAACUGCUUUGUUACUCCUUGUCAACUUCCCUGACCAGUGUCUCAGUGGCUAGAGCUUGGCACUAAAAGUAAGACUGUUUAAGAACAAAUAAUUAUUCCAUCAUUUAACAUUCAGGUCAUUUCAGAUGAGUCAUCUACCCUCUCUGAGCCUGAAGAUUUUGCAUUUGUACCUACCUCAUGGCAAUGUUAUGAAGUUCAAGUGACAGAGUAUGUAGAACCAUGGGUCAGUUGUUAAUUUAUAAGCCCUAAGGGGAUUUUUGUUUAUAAGUUUUACUUUCCAUGGGCUUGGGGGUAAACGAAAGGUAGGCAAAAGACUGAGAGGUAGCAAUGAAGAGGAACAUAGACAAAGCUUCCAUGGUCUUUAGAAAAAGAAACUCAUGUGGUUAUCUAAUGGUACCUAUGGAGGACUAAUUCCAGGACCUUUGCAGAUACCAAGAUUUGAGGAUGCUCAAGUCCUUUAUAUAAAAUGGCAGAGCAUUUGCAUAAAACCUAUAUAUUUAUCCUUCCAUAUACUUUAAAUCAUUUCUAGAUUACUUACAAUGCUUAAGGCAAUGUAAAUGCUCUAUAAAUGAUUGUCAUAUUUUUUAGGGAACAGUGACCAGGAAAAUGUCUGUGCAUGUUCAAGAUAGAUGCAAUUUUUUCCCAGGUAUUUUCUAUUCCUGCUUGGUUAGAUCCUGGAUGUGGAACUCCCUGAUAUAGAAGGACAAUUGUAUUUGGCACCAAGGAUUAAGUUACCUAUGUGACAUAAAUUCCACUCUCUAAACACCACCACCACCUUCCAAAACCAACCAACCAACCGCCAACUAAACAAACCCAUAGCUUCUAGGAGUGGAAGAAGAAAAUGAAGAGCGAGGAGGAAGAUACUGAGGAGAAAACUGCAGGAACAAACUGAUUUUGUAGCCUUGGUAUACAGGAAAAGACUCUAUUUUGAUGACUUACUUGCAUAUAUGUUGUCCCAGAAGGGAAAAAAAUAUAGAGAGUAAAUGAAGAAAUAAGAAAUAGCUAUGCAGAUCAUGCCAAGGAGAAAUAUGUGCAAAUGGAAUGAUAUUCUAAUAAAAAAAUAUAGACUUGAAAGAGGUAUGUGGCCUGUGCCUUUGAAAACAUCAGGGAAAAAAUGUAUACAUGUUCAUAAAAUUUUAAUUGUAGUGACACAUGCUUCUACAUUAAGAAUAAUUAUAAGAAA